rnacentral:lncRNA from 1 species
GACUGGGUCCGUAACUUGAGGAUUAUCCUCAUUGCUGCACAGAAAUAUUACAUCCUGGAAGCACCGCUGGGUGCCAGGCCUGCUGCAAGAGCAACACCAGAGGUUAUGAACGUCUGGCAGAGCAAAGCUGAUGACUACUCAAUAGUUCAGUGUGCCAUGCUUUACGGCUUAGAACCGGGUCUUCAACGACGUUUUGAACGUCAUGGAGCAUAUGAGAUGUUCCAGGAGUUGAAGUUAAUAUUUCAAGCAAAUGCCCGGAUUGAGAGAUAUGAAGUCUCCAAUAAGUUCUACAGCUGCAAGAUGGAAGAGAAUAGUUCUGUCAGUGAGCAUAUACUCAAAAUGUUUGGGUAUAACAAUCACUUGAUUCAACUAGGAGUUAAUCUUCCAGGAUGAUAGCGUCAUUGACAGAAUUCUUAAAUCACUGCCACCAAGCUACAAGAGCUUCGUGAUGAACUAUAACAUGCAAGGGAUGAAUAAGACAAUUCCCGAGCUCUUCGAAAUGCUAAAGGCAGCGGAGGUAGAAAUCAAAAAGGAGCAUCAAGUGUUGAUGGUCAAUAAGACCACUAGUUUCAAGAAAAAGGGCAAAGGGAAGAAGAAGGGGAACUUCAAGAAGAACAACAAGCAAGUUGCUGUUCAGGAGAAGAAACCCAAAUCUGGACCUAAGCCUGAGACUGAGUGCUUCUACUGCAAGCAGACUGGUCACUGGAAGCGGAACUGCCCCAAGUAUUUGGUGGAUAAGAAGGAUGGCAAGGUGAACAAAGGUAUAUGUGAUAUACAUGUUAUUGAUGUGUACCUUACCAGAGCUCGCAGUAGCACCUGGGUAUUUGAUACUGGUUCUGUUGCUAAUAUUUGCAACUCGAAACAGGGACUACGGAUUAAGCGAACACUGGCCAAGGACGAGGUGACGAUGCGCGUGGGAAACGGUUCCAAAGUCGAUGUGAUCGCCGUCGGCACGCUACCUCUACAUCUACCUUCAGGAUUAGUAUUAGACCUAAAUAAUUGUUAUUUGGUGCCAGCGUUGAGCAUGAUCAUUAUAUCUGGAUCUGGUUUAAUGCGAGACAGUUAUUCAUUUAAAUCAGAGAAUAAUGGUUGUUCUAUUUAUAUGAGUAAUAUCUUUUAUGGUCAUGCACCCUUGAAGAGUGGUCUAUUUUUAAUGAAUCUCGGUAGUAGUGACACACAUAUUCAUAAUGUCGAAGCCAAAAGAUGCAGAGUUGAUAAUGACAAUGCAACUUAUUUGUGGCACUGCCGUUUAGGUCAUAUCGGUGUAAAGCGCAUGAAGAAACUCCAUAAUGAUGGACUUUUGGAAUCACUUGAUUAUGAAUCACUUGGUACUUGCGAACCGUGUCUCAUGGGCAAGAUGACUAAAACACCAUUCUCCGGAACUAUGGAGAGAGCAACUAAUUUGUUGGAAAUCAUACAUACAGAUGUAUGUGGUCCGAUGAAUAUUGAGGCUCGUGGCGAAUAUCGUUAUUUUCUCACCUUCACAGAUGAUUUGAGCAGAUAUGGGUAUAUCUACUUAAUGAAACAUAAGUCUGAAACAUUUGAAAAGUUCAAAGAAUUUCAGAACAAAGUUGAAAAUCAUCGUAAAAAGAAAAUAAAGUUUCUACGAUCAGAUCAUGGAGGAGAAUAUUUGAGUUACGAGUUUGGCCUACAUUUGAAACAAUGCGGAAUAGUUUCGCAACUCAUGCCACCCGGAACACCACAACGUAAUGGUGUGUCCGAACGUCGUAAUCGUACUUUACUAGAUAUGGUGCGAUCUAUGAUGUCUCUUACUGAUUUACCGCUAUCGUUUUGGGGUUAUGCUUUAGAGACGGCUGCAUUCACUCUAAAUAGGGCACCAUCGAAAUCCGUUGAGACGUCGCCUUAUGAACUAUGGUUUGGCAAGAAACCAAAGUUGUCGUUUCUUAAAGUUUGGGGUUGCGAUGCUUAUGUGAAGAAACUUCAACCUGAUAAGCUCGAACCUAAAUUGGAGAAAUGUGUCUUCAUAGGAUACCCAAAGGAGACUGUUGGGUACAACUUCUAUCACAGAUCCGAGGGCAAGACAUUCGUUGCUAAGAAUGGAUCCUUUCUAGAGAAGGAGUUUUUCUCGAAAGAAGUGAGUGGGAGGAAAGUAGAACUUGAUGAGGUAACUGUACCUGCUCCCUUAUUGGAAAGUAGAUCAUCACAGAAACCAGUUUCUGCGACACCUACACCAAUUAGUGAGGAAGAUAAUCAUAAUGAUCAUGAAACUUCAGAUCAAGUUAUUACUGAACCUCGUAGGUCAACCAGAUUAAGAUCCGCACCACAGUGGUACAGUAAUCCUGUUCUGGAGGUUAUGUUACUAGACCAUGACGAACCUACAAACUAUGAAGAAGCGAUGGUGAGCCCAGAUUCCGCAAAAUGGCUUGAGGCCAUGAAAUCCGAGAUGGGAUCCAUGUAUGAGAACAAAGUAUGGACUUUGGUUGACUUGCCCGAUGAUCGGCAAGCCAUUGAAAAUAAAUGGAUCUUCAAGAAGAAGAUUGACGUUGACGGUAACGUUACUGUCUAUAAAGCUCGACUUGUUGCGAAAGGUUUUCGACAAGUUCAAGGGAUUGACUACGAUAAGACCUUCUCACCCGUAGCGAUGCUUAAGUCUGUCCGAAUCAUGUUAGCAAUUGCCGCAUUUUAUGAUUAUGAAAUUUGGCAAAUGGAUGUCAAAACUGCAUUCCUGAAUGGAUUUCUGGAAGAAGAAUUGUAUAUGAUGCAACCGGAAGGUUUUGUCGAUCCAAAGGGAGCUAACAAAGUGUGCAAGCUCCAGCGAUCCAUUUAUGGACUGGUGCAAGCCUCUCGGAGUUGGAAUAAACGCUUUGAUAGUGUGAUCAAAGCAUUUGGUUUUAUACAGAAUUUUGGAGAAGCCUGUAUUUACAAGAAAGUGAGUGGGAGCUCAGUAUCAUUUCUGAUAUUAUAUGUGGAUGACAUAUUGCUAAUUGGAAAUGAUAUAGAAUUUCUGGAUAGCAUAAAGGGAUACUUGAAUAAGAGUUUUUCAAUGAAAGACCUCGGUGAAGUUGCAUAUAUAUUGGGCAUCAAGAUCUAUAGAGAUAGAUCAAGACGCUUAAUUGGACUUUCACAAAGCACAUACCUUGACAAAGUUUUGAAGAAGUUCAAAAUGGAUCAAGCAAAGAAAGGGUUCUUGCCUGUAUUACAAGGUGUGAGAUUGAGUAAGACUCAAUGCCCGACCACUGCAGAAGAUAGAGAGAAGAUGAAAGAAGUUCCUUAUGCUUCAGCCAUAGGCUCUAUCAUGUAUGCAAUGCUGUGUACCAGACCUGAUGUGUGCCUUGCUAUAAGUUUAGCAGGGAGGUACCAAAGUAAUCCAUGAGUGGAUCACUGGACAGCGGUCAAGAACAUCCUGAAAUACCUGAAAAGGACUAAGGAUAUGUUUCUCGUUUAUGGAGGUGACAAAGAGCUCAUCGUAAAUGGUUACGUUGAUGCAAGCGUUGACACUGAUCCGGACGAUUCUAAAUCGCAAACCGGAUACGUGUUUACAUUGAACGGUGGAGCUGUCAGUUGGUGCAGUUCUAAGCAAAGUGUCGUGGCGGGAUCUACGUGUGAAGCGGAGUACAUAGCUGCUUCGGAAGCAGCAAAUGAAGGAGUUCAUAUCCGAUCUAGGUGUCAUACCUAGUGCAUCGGGACCAAUGAAAAUCUUUUGUGACAAUACUGGUGCAAUUGCCUUAACAAAGGAAUCCAGAUUUCACAAAAGAACCAAGCACAUCAAAAGACGCUUCAAUUCCAUCCGGGAUUUAGUCCAGGUGGGAGACAUAGAAAUUUGCAAGAUACAUACGGAUCUGAAUGUUGCAGACCCGUUGACUAAGCCUCUUCCACGAGCAAAACAUGAUCAACACCAAGACUCCAUGGGUGUAAGAAUCAUUACUGUGUAAUCUAGAUUAUUGACUCUAGUGCAAGUGGGAGGCUGAAGGAAAUAUGCCCUAGAGGCAAUAAUAAAGUUAUUAUUUAUUUCCUUAUAUCAUGAUAAAUGUUUAUUAUUCAUGCUAGAAUUGUAUUAACCGGAAACAUAAUACUUGUGUGAAUACAUAGACAAACAGAGUGUCACUAGUAUGCCUCUACUUGACUAGCUCGUUGAUCAAAGAUGGUUAUGUUUCCUAGCCAUAGACAUGAGUUGUCAUUUGAUUAACAGGAUCACAUCAUUAGGAGAAUGAUGUGAUUGACUUGACCCAUUCCGUUAGCUUAGCACUCGAUCGUUUAGUAUGUUGCUAUUGCUUUCUUCAUGACUUAUACAUGUUCCUAUGACUAUGAGAUUAUGCAACUCCCGUUUAUCGGAGGAACUCUUUGUAUGCUACCAAACAUCACAACAUAACUGGGUGAUUAUAAAGGUGCUCUACAGGUGUCUCCAAAGGUACUUGUUGGGUUGGCGUAUUUCGAAAUUAGGAUUUGUCACUCCGAUUGUCGGAGAGGUAUCUCUGGGCCCACUCAGUAAUACACAUCACUAUAAGCCUUGCAAGCAUUGUGACUAAUGAGUUAGUUGCGGGAUGAUGUAUUACGGAACGAGUAAAGAGACUUGCCGGUAACGAGAUUGAACUAGGUAUCGAGAUACCGACGAUCGAAUCUCGGGCAAGUAACAUACCGAUGACAAAGGGAACAACGUAUGUUGUUAUGCGGUCUGACCAAUAAAGAUCUUCGUAGAAUAUGUGGGAACCAAUAUGAGCAUCCAGGUUCCGCUAUUGGUUAUUGACCGGAGAGGUGUCUCGGUCAUGUCUACAUAGUUCUCGAACCCGUAGGGUCCGCACGCUUAACGUUACGAUGACAGUUAUAUUAUGAGUUUAUAUGUUUUGAUGUACCGAAGGUUGUUCGGAGUCCCGGAUGUGAUCACGGACAUGACGAGGAGUCUCGAAAUUGUCGAGACAUAAAGAUUGAUAUAUUGGAAGCCUAUGUUUAGAUAUCGGAAGUGUUCCGGGUGAAAUCGGGAUUUUUCCGGAGUACCGGGAGGUUACCGGAACCCCCCGGUAACUUAAUGGGCCUUAGUGGGCCUAGGUGGAAGAGAGGAGAGGAGGCCAGGGCAGGGCCGCCCGCCCCUCCCCCCAGUACAAAUAGGACAAGGAGAGGGGGGCGGCGCCCCCCUUUCCUUCCUCCCCUCCACCUCUUCCCCCUCUCUCUCCUAGUCCAACAUGGAAAAGGGGGGAAGUCCUACUCCCGGUAGGAGUAGGACUCCUCCUGGCGCGCCUCUCCCCUUGGCAGGCCGAAACCCCCUUGCUCCUUUAUAUACGGGGCCAGGGGGCACCUCUAGACACACAAUUGAUCAACGAUCUCUUAGCCGUGUAUGGUGCCCCCCUCCACCAUAUUACACCUCGAUAAUAUCGUAGCGGUGCUUAGGCGAAGCCCUGCGUCGGUAGAACAUCAUCAUUGUCACCACGCCGUCGUGCUGACGAAACUCUCCCUCAACACUCGGCUGGAUCGGAGUUCGAGGGAUGUCAUCGAGCUGAACGUGUGCUGAACUUGGAGGUGCCGUACGUUCGGUACUUGAUCGGUCGGAUCGUGAAGACGUACGACUACAUCAACCGCGUUGUGUUAACGCUUACGCUUUCAGUCUACGAGGGUACGUGGACAACACUCUCCCCUCUCGUUGCUAUGCAUCACCAUGAUCUUGCGUGUGCGUAGGAAUUUUUUUGAAAUUACUAUGUUCCCCAUCACCAUUAACUGAUCUAACACUAAUUGACCUAUAGCUAGAUAAUAAGCAAUUAGUCCUAAACUAAAUGGGCUAUCCCAUAGGCUGUGAGCCAGCCGGCCUCACACGGCUGGGCACGAACGCACGCAUAUGUGAGGCGGCCAAGGCCUGUCCAUGGAGUUGGCUAAGGUAGGCACAACGCCGGGGAGAGGAAGGCAAGCAAGCGGGGCGCAACUGGGCAUGGCAGGCUGGCGCAGGAGCGGGCAGCAGGCGACAGUAGCGCCAACAGCAGCAGAAGAAGAAGUAGUAACAGCAGCAACGUAGCAGCGGGCAGCAGGGGAGCGAGGCCGCGGACAGCGCCGGCGGGGCGCGCGGCCGUGGGCGUGAGGGCGCGGGGCAGGCGCGCGCAGGGGAGCACAGGCUGUAGCAGCGAACGGGCAUACACGAUAGCAGCAACAAUAACGCGGCAGUGGAGGUGGCCGGAGCAAGAGCUGACGAGGAACAACAGCGACCGGAGUACUGUGGUGAACGACGACUACUGGCAUGGAUCGUGCAGGGAAGAGUGGGAAUCGGGUGAGGACCUCACCGCAAUAUCGUAGGCGAGCUCGAGAAGGUCGGGGGUUGAGCGACGAUGACGAAUUCGUCGAUGACGUCGCGGUGGCUGGAGGUUGAAGACGACAUCGAUCCCUGCGAUCCAGGGGCUCCCGGCUCCAACUGGUGGACGUAGUCGAAGGAGUGGACGUCGGUGAAGCUUGCAGAUGAGGUGGCUGGGCGCGGGGAGCUCGGUGGCUACGGGGGCAGUGAGGCAAUGGCCGCGGCAAAGGCGGCCAUGCGAGGAAGAGGAAGAAGCAACGCGAGGCGGAGAGGGGAAAAGGUCCUGGGGGUGCUAGGGUUCGGGGGAGGGGGCUCCUUAUCCGGAGAGGAGCCGUGGGAUGGCCUCCACGGCGCCAUCGAUGGCCAUGGUGGCCUGGAUGGAUGCCACGACCCCCCUCUGGUGAACAGAGGAAGGGGGAGGCGCCUGGGGUUGGCUGGGCCAGCCAUUUGGCUAGAUGGGCCAAAGGUUCAGUAGUUUAGGUCUUUUGUUUUCCCCUGUAGUUUUGUUUUCCUUUUUUUGUUUUCCUCUUAUUUUAAAUAUGUAGGUCAUUUAUAAAAGCACGGUUCUUUCACCAUAAAUAUCUAGACAUUUAUUGCCACGCUCCGAACAUUUUAGUUUUGACUUUUGAAAACUUUAAUUGUUUAAACUUUAAUUCAAAUUUUGAAUUUGAAUCCGUUUCUAACUAACGCGAGAUUAUGAACAGUAACCGAGGUGACGUGGCAUCGUUAACGCGGGAUUACUGUAGCCUAAUUAUCCGGGCAUCACAAAUCUCCUCCACUACAAGAAAUCUCAUCCCGAGAUUUAAGCGGUGGAGUAAGGGGGAAAAGUGCUAGUAGCGAAAACCUAACGAGUCUUCUCGGUCUUGGUUGCUUUUCUCGAACCGGUCGAUCCAUUACAUUGACGUCUUCAUUACUCUGCUUCCAGUCACCAUGAUGAAGUCGGCAUCCUUUCUUCGGAAAAUUCAUCGUACUUACAAAAGGACAAGAGUAACUUCGAAAGAACGGACCUUACAAGGUAUACUAUCUGGCAGAUAACUCAGGGAAUGUGGUAGAAAGUAACUCUCGAAUAGAUACUUAAGAAAAUAUCGAGAGUAAAGUAAGAAGGUACCAUGAGAAGUUUCCAAUGGGCAAGCAAUCGUUCGAUGGCCUAAUUAGAAGGUGGAAGGGGUUCAGAGCAACGAGAACAAGUAUUGCGUCUGAUACCAGAAUAGAUCACUAGGCAGGUGGCCCGUGACUUACAUAUGAAGUCAAGCGCGAGGAAUAACUUUGACAAUAGGGUGUACAGGAGAGUCAGGUUUCGAUCCUAUGGAACUGUGGGUUAUGGUCCCACCAUGUGAGUUAACGGUAGGAAGGGCGGUGGUAUUUGGCAUAGUCAUGAUAACAAGGCAUGUCAGAAGGUAGCCUGUCAGUUAUGCCGGCAACAACAUUGGUACCAAGGGAGAGGGACAAAGAGAACCCUUUUCCCGCUCGUUGUACGAGGCGGACCAUUAGGCAAAGUUCUCGUCCAUCGGUGGAUAUCGGAAUGUCAUCAACAAUAGUAACAGGUUCUUACUGACAAAGUUGUACACCGAGGUGCUUACAAAAACAGUGACUUAUUACUACUUAGAUCAUAUAAACCUCAAGAAGGUUAAACAAAACAAUGGAAAGGAAAAUGUGAUUAUCAGAUUGAACAGAACAAUGGCAAGGAAAAAUGUGUUUAAACACAUAAUUCAGAGAUAUAUCCUUCCCAAGGACAAGCAGAGCAUGAUAUCCAUGACAAGAUAUAAUGUAGAAAACCCUUUAGGUAAGGGGGGAGGAAUCUCAUGAUAUUACCCAUGCAACAGUGUUAGGAUAAAUGAUAAAGAAAAUUUUGCAUUGUGCUUCAAAUGCUCUUAUUGAAAAUCGGAUUACCACAGACAUGCUUCGAGAUAGCAUUGACAUGGUCAUCAAGUAAGGGUCAGAAUUUGGAUGCACAAAUGAUCCAUCAGGAACAACUUAUAGAAUAAGUCUUACGAUUUCCUCAUGGAAGAAUUGCUAACCUUGCUAAAAAGGGAACUAUAUCAAUAGGUUCUCCGGCCAGGUGCGCUAGGCAUGACAUCACCUUAGCGGGUCAUAUAAAGACCAAUGUUAUAACUCUUGGAAAUAUGUUCCAACCAUUACAUCUGACCAAGGUUCAGAUUCGAUUGGCGUUAGGAUACCUCAGACUCAGGAUGUCCGAGAAGAAAAGGUGCAACACAAAUCGAUGAAAUGACAUUGCAAGAUUCUCGGGAAAAGAACUAUGGGAGCGGGUUCCUGAAACAAUAGUUCAUCAUUAAACCAAGGAGAGGAUGAGAAGGUGGCUGAUGGGCUCAACGGCAAUUCAUUGAGAAUUCCAAACGGAUGGAUUUCCACAAUAAUGUGAACAAUAUGACAUUUGUCAAUUCAAAUGAUAUAAUGUUGUAUGCUCUAGGAAAACAUACACCAUCAAUCAUUAGUUGAAAGGUGUGCCCGAAAUAUGACCUUAGGCAGCAAGAUCAAUGUUAGAGUGACGAUUCAGUAACCAACAGUCUAAGAACGAACUGUCGAUCAUUAACUGCAAGACAAUAGGGUUGCUACAAGUACAGAACUCAAACAACAUCGUUAGCAUAUUGGUAUCCUGGUUAAAAACAACACGGGGACCAAGGAAGAAUGGUGAUGGUGAGAAGUAUCAUCAUACCGAGAAUUUCUAAGAGUGGAGCAAUCCCUACAACAUUCUCGACAUAAAAGGCAACAAUACUUCAAGGCAGAGCACAACACUAGCUGGAGAGCAAGUUGUAUUAUAAUGUGGACAAGUUCGCGAUGAAAGGAAGUCAAGGAUGUCGUCGAUGAUAAUAAAAAUCAUCGAGGGCAAGGAGGGUAUUUCUCAUCAUGAACACAGUUGACAUCUCGGAAGAAGUCAAAGUGUUGAAGGUGAUCCGACACAUUUGCCGGGAGGUUUCAAGAGGAUGCAAUCAAACAACAACGACAACAAGCAAGGAAAUGACAAAGUGGCAAGUUAUAGGAUCAAUAUAUAAGAUGCAAGCUCGGAACCAAAGUUGUCUUUCAAGACAAGCAACAUGAUGUUGAAAGCUUGACGUAAGUCAUGCUCACACACUGAAGAAUUCGUGCACCAGAGAAGGACGAGGUAGCACAGUUAAAGAUAGCAAGAUCAGGAUGCAGCCGAUAGUCUAGGAAUGACCAGCUUGGGUUCAGAAUUUCCAAGUAAAAAUACUAGGGGUAUUUGAUUUGUAGUGCAGAAUAAUUUCACUAGUCGGUGUCCUCGGUUGACAACAACCCAGAACCCAUAGAGUGAUUACGACAAGGAAAGACAUUACUUCAACAAAGUUAGUAAGAUGUGGUGCAACGGCAAGACAUCUUCGAGAUACCAGGGGAUAAUACUCGAAGGUAGAACAUGAUAGAAGUAGAACCGGGUCAUUGACCUGUGGCAGUAGAUACUUCAACCUUGCCAAAAAUAGACGAGGCACCGGAAUGAAUUCCCAUCAAAUAUAUUAGAUCAGGGCAGCAUGGUCGGAAUCAUAACUAUAAGGAAUCAAUUUCAAGAAUACCAAAAGAAUCAUACAGCUGGAUAAUCAUUUUGCAAGAAGCUCCUGAGACGGUCUACAUCAUUUUCAUGGGCAUGAACACAAAGUUCAAGGUCGACUCCCACUUCUUUAAUGUAUAUCAUUUCAUUCACCUCUCGCUUUGAUAAAACUGUAGUGUUGGAAUUUUAUCUGGUAGAACACCGGAAGAGUAUGACUUGUGAAAACUUUUGGGUUCUCACGGAUUAGGGGAAGGCAUUGGUUCAACCCAUCGGGCAUCUUAGUAACAUAUACCACAAGUUUCAAAAGUAAAUACACAAGCUCGAAAACAGAGCAUGGUUGGCCAAGCAGAGGAUACAAUGUACCAAAGGCAUUAUGUACGAGGGGAAGGUCUCACAAGGUGAUUGAAUAUGAAGGACACUGUCGGAUAAAAAUCCAACAAUGGAUCGGGCGAUCCACAACGGAGCUGAUGUGAGUAUCGGUACUCACUCAGAGGAAGAAAGAAUGCAGAGGCAUCAGAUUCAAGAAUCACCUAAUUAGUCUGAUGCUUAAAUAGAAAGAAAUUAUGGUUUCCAAAACGAAGGAUCAGAAGCAGACGCUCUGAUCAAGGAUGGAUAAGUUGAAAACACUUAGUUGGACAAUCAAUAAAGGUUUGAAUUGCCGAGAACCAACUCAUGUCCGGAAUGACGCUUGAGCCGGAAAGAUAAUUUUAAAAAGGAUAACCUGAUGGCUGCGUGCGUACACACGCAUUGAAUCAAUAGGCUCAAAAUGACUAAGACAAGGGAUGUUAACGAGGACUACUAGUCAUAUGGAAUUAACCAUAAUGCAAGUAGGCAAGAGUUUCAAGAGUAACAGACUGCAGAGGAUUUUCAAAAGAUCGAAAAGUAUUCCGAAGAAUUAUGUGAGACACAUGAACAAUUGAGAAGAACCGAUCCUCGAUAAAUGUGAUGAAAAAAACCAUAAGGGUUUUCAUGCGAAAUAAAACUGCAAGACAGUAAACUCAAAGGAUUCUCGGACAACGGAGAAUAUCUCGAGGCAUCUUGUAACAACAAGAGCGACGAGGAAUGAUCAAGAGAAUGACAAGUGCAUGUAGAUAUCCAUAGGGAUAUAUCGGUGGCAGUGAAUUGCAAAGGCGAUGAGCACAAGGGUCUUGGGAAAAUAUCGAGGGAUAUCCUCAGAAUCUUCUGACGAAGCAGGUGAUCUUCCGGGAUGAGGGCUCUCCGGGAGAAAUAGUUACGAGAACCUAGAGUUAGAGUUAGCAAAACCAUUUAACCCGAAUAGAAGAGAGAUCAGAGUCCCACAGUAUAGACGAGGAGUAAAAGAUUCUAAUACCACCCAAUGGCGACGUGGGCCCGUAAGCCACACAGCCAAGUUAGUAAAACAGUUUUCGGCUUCUAGACUCAACUUCGGCCAAGGAGUUGGAAAGGGGAUUCCUACAGGCAGUCGGCUCUGAUACCAACUUGUGACGCCCCCGAUUCAAUCGUACACUAAUCAUGCAUGCAAAUGUAUACGAUCAAGAUCAGGGACUCACGGGAAGAUAUCACAACACAACUCUAAAAACAUAAAUAAGUCAUACAAGCAUCAUAAUACAAGCCAGGGGCCUCGAGGGCUCGAAUACAAGUGCUCGAUCAUAGACGAGUCAGCGGAAGCAACAAUAUCUAAGAACAGACAUAAGUUAAACAAGUUUGCCUUAAGAAGGCUAGCACAAACUGGGAUACAGAUCGAAAGAGGCGCAUGCCUCCUGCCUGGGAUCCUCCUAACUACUCCUGGUCAUCGUCCGCGGGCUGCAUGUAGUAGUAGGCACCUCCGGUGUAGUAGGAGUCGUCGCUGAUGGUGGCGUCUGGCUCCUAGGCUCCGGCAUCUGGUUGCGACAACCAGGUAGAAGGGAAAGGGGAAAAGAGGGAGAAAAGCAACCGUGAGUACUCAUCCAAAGUACUCGCAAGCAGGGAGCUACACUACCUAUGCAUGGGUAUAUGUGUAAAGGGCCAUAUCGGUGGACUGAACUUCAGAAUGCCAGAAUAAGAGGGGGAUAGCUAAUCCUGUCGAAGACUACGCUUCUGGCCACCUCCAUCUUGCAGCAUGUAGGAGAGAGUAGAUGGUAAGUUCACCAAGUAGCAUCGUAUAGCAUAAUCCUACCCGACGAUCCCCUCCUCGUCGCCCUGUUAGAGAGCGAUCACCGGGUUAUAUCUGGCACUUGGAAGGGUGUGUUUUAUUAAGUAUCCAGUUCUAGUUGUCAUAAGGUCAAGGUACAACUCCGGGUCGUCCUUUUACCGAGGGACAUGACUAUUCGAAUAGAUAAACUUCCCUGCAGGGGUGCACCACAUAACCCAACACGCUCGAUCCCAUUUGGCCGGACACACUUUUCUGGGUCAUGCCCGGCCGCGGAAGAUCAACACGUCGCAGCCCUACCUAGGCACAACAGAGAGGUCAGCACACCGGUCUAAAUCCUAUGGCGCAGGGGUCUGGGCCCAUCGCCCAUUGCACACCUGCACGUUGCGAGGGCGGCCGGAAGCAGACCUAGCCUAGCAGGCGUUCCAGUCCAAUCCGGCGCGCGCCGCUCAGUCGCUGACGUCACGAAGGCUUCGGCUGAUACCACGACGUCGAGUGCCCAUAACUGUUCCCGCGUAGUUGGUUAGUGCGUAUAGACCAAAUGGCCAGACUCAGAUCAAAUACCAAGAACUCGUUAAGCGUGUUAUUUGAUGUAACCGCGGACACCGACCAGGGUCAGGCCCACCUCUCACCUAGGUAGUCUCAACCUGCCCUAUCGCUCCGCCACAAAGAUCCACCCAGAGGGCCGUCGGGACAAAGGUGCUUUAAGCCCCCAAUCUGUGAAUCACUCGCGGGUACUCCUCGAGCCGACCCGACUUUAGUCACCACAUGUAUCAUGUAUAAAGUAUAUAAGUAUAUACCCGUGAUCACCGCCCAAGUGAUCACGGCCCGAUAGUAUAGCACAGCAGACGGACAAGAAUGUAGGGCCACUGAUGGAAAACUAGCAUCCUAUACUAAGCAUGUAGGAUUGCAGGUAAAGGUAACAACAGUAGUGGCAAAGACAGGCUAUGCAGCAGAAUAGGAUUAACGGAAAGCAGUAACAUGCUACACUACUCUAAGGCAAGAGUAUAGAGAAGAAUAGGCGAUAUCUGGUGAUCAAGGGGGGGGGGCUUGCCUGGUUGCUCUGGCAAGAAGGAGGUGUCAUCAACUCCGUAGUCGAACUAGGCAGUAGCAGCGUCGGUCUCGUAGUCUACCGGAGAGAAGAGGGGGAAGAAACAGUAAAUACAAUGCAAACAUAAGCAUGACGAUGCAUGACAUGUCAAGUAACGGUGACAGGUGUGUCCUAACGCAGUAAGUGGUGAUACCGGCGAAGGGGGCAAACAUCCGGGAAAGUAUCCCCGGUGUUUCGUGUUUUCGGAUAGAUGAACCGGAUGGGGAAAGUUGCAUGUUCGCUAUGCUAGGGAUGGGUGGCGGACGAACGGGCUGCAUAUUCGGAUUCGCCUCGUCGUUCUGAGCAACUUUCAUGUACAAAGUUUUUUCAUCCGAGCUACGGUUUAUUUUAUAUUAAUUUUCGAAGUUUUAAAAGAUUUUCUAAUUUACUAGAAUUAAUUUAAUUCGAAUUUAAAUAGCUAAAAUUAUUAUGUGUACCCAGCUGUGGACUAGCCACAGUGGAUGAGAGGUGGGGCCAGUGGGCCCCAGUCAACACUAUGUCAGCCCGGUCAACAUUGACUAGUCAAAGGUGAACAUUAAUUGUGGGUCCCAGCUGUCAUUGAGUUAGUUUUUUUAGUUAGAAAAAUUAGUUUAAUUACCCCAGGGCCGACAUAUCAUUGGCCCAUUAACUGAUCUAACACUAGUUGACCUAUAGCUAGCUAAUAAGCAAUUAGUCCUAAACUAAAUGGGCUAUCACAUAGGCUGUGAGCCAGCCGGCCUCACACGGCUGGGCACGAACGCACGCAUAUGUGCGGGCCUGUCCAUGGCGUUGGCUAAGGUAGGCACAACGCCGGGGAGAGGAAGGCAAGCAAGCGGGGCGCAGCUGGGCAUGGCAGGCUGGCGCAGGAGCGGGCAGCAGGCGACAGUAGCGCCAACAGCAGCAGAAGAAGAAGUAGUAACAGCAGCAACGCAGCAGCGGGCAGCAAGGGAGCGAGGCCGCGGACAGCGCCGGCGAGGCACGCGGCCGUGGGCGUGAGGGCGCGGGGCAGGCGCGCGCAGGGGAGCGCAGGCUGUAGCAGCGAACGGGCAUACACGACAGUAGCAACACUAGCGCAGCAGUGGAGGUGGCCGGAGCAAGAGGCGACGAGGAACAACAACGACCGGAGUACUAUGGUGAACGACGACUACUGGCUUGGAUCGAGCAGGGAAGAGAGAGAAUCGGGUGAGGACCUCACCGCAAUAUCGUAGGCGAGCUCGAGAAGGUCGGGGGUUGAGCGACGGCGACGAAUUCGUCGAUGACGUCGCGGUGGCUGGAGGUUGAAGACGACAUUGAUCCCUGCGAUCCAGGGGCUCCCGGCUCCAACUGGUGGACGUAGUCGAAGGAGUGGACGUCGGUGAAGCUCGCAGACGAGGUGGCUGGCCGCGGGCAUCUCGGUGGCUACAGGGGCAGCGAGGCAAUGGCCGCGGCAGAGGCGGCCAUGCGAGGAAGUGGAAGAAGCAACGCGAGGCGGAGAGGGGAAAAGGUCCUGGGGGUGCUAGGGUUCGGGGGAGGGGGCUCCUUAUCCAGAGAGGAGCCGUGGGAUGGCCUCCACGGC